rnacentral:rRNA from 1 species
UACAGAGGGGGCAAGCGUUGUUCGGAAUUACUGGGCGUAAAGGGCGCGUAGGCGGCCUGCUAAGUCGAACGUGAAAUCCCCGGGCUCAACCCGGGAACUGCGUUCGAGACUGGCGGGCUUGAAUCCGGGAGAGGGAUGCGGAAUUCCAGGUGUAGCGGUGAAAUGCGUAGAUAUCUGGAGGAACACCGGUGGCGAAGGCGGCAUCCUGGACCGGCAUUGACGCUGAGGCGCGAAAGCCAGGGGAGCAAACGGGAUUAGAAACCCCAGUAGUCC